AUUCGUUUCACGAACAGUGUUGAAAUUCAUGCCGCCAGCAUACGAAUGCUCUUGUUCGCCUGAAAUGCAGAUACAUGAAUACACUUGGUUCUAACAACCUUAAAGCUAUAGAAACACAUUUAUACAAAUACAGUCUUAAGUGGCUAGUUUUGCCACAGUAGUAUAUGAGUACGGAGAGACACUUUGUAUGAAAGGAGUAGUAUAUAAAUACGGAGGGACACUGUGUAUGAAAGUAGUGGUAUAUGAGUACAGAGGAACACUGUGUAUGAAAGGAAGGGUAUAUGAGUAUGGAGGGACACUUUGUAUGAAAUGAGUAGUAUAUAAAUACGGAGGGACACUGUGUAUGAAAGUAGUGGUAUAUGAGUACAGAGGACUGUGUAUGAAAGGAAGGGUAUAUGAGUAUGGAGGGACACUUUGUAUGCAAGGAGGGGUGUAUGAGUACGGAGGAACACUGUGGAUGAAAGGAGUAGUAUAGGAGUACGGAGGGACACUGUGAAUCUGAAGGGGAAGGAGUCACCAUGCCUGCUGGUCCCACUGAUUUUCAUUGCGAUUGCUGCACUUUAAGUAAUUUGGAACACUUUGAUAACUCUCCCCAAUUGGGAGCCAAUAGAUGCUGGUGGUACAUCC